CCCUUAGAUGCUCUGGGCGGCCCGCGCACUACACUGGCACUCUCAAUCAGAGCCUGGAUCUAACACUUUGGGGUAUUCUAUGAAGUGGUGUCGUGACUGGGAUUAACCCUUGCAAUUAUUGGUUACGAACGAGGAAUUCCUUGUAAUCGCGGUUUAUCAGCCCGCGUUGAAUGCGUCCCUGCCCUUUGUACACACCGCCCGUCGCUCCUACCGAUGGAUCGUCCGGUGAAGCUCAUGGAGGGGCGGUUGUCUCAGCUGCCGUCGAAGUGAAAUGGACCUCACGAUCUAGAGGAAGGAGAAGUCGUAACA
rnacentral:rRNA from 1 species